rnacentral:misc_RNA from 1 species
ACCGGGUCGUGAGUGUUCG